GAUGAACGCUGGCGGCGUGCCUAAUACAUGCAAGUCGAGCGAACAGACGAGGAGCUUGCUCCUCUGACGUUAGCGGCGGACGGGUGAGUAACACGUGGAUAACCUACCUAUUAGACUGGGAUAACUUCGGGAAACCGGAGCUAAUACCGGAUAAUAUAUUGAACCGCAUGGUUCAAUAGUGAAAGACGGUUUUGCUGUCACUUAUAGAUGGAUCCGCGCCGCAUUAGCUAGUUGGUAAGGUAACGGCUUACCAAGGCAACGAUGCGUAGCCGACCUGAGAGGGUGAUCGGCCACACUGGAACUGAGACACGGUCCAGACUCCUACGGGAGGCAGCAGUAGGGAAUCUUCCGCAAUGGGCGAAAGCCUGACGGAGCAACGCCGCGUGAGUGAUGAAGGUCUUCGGAUCGUAAAACUCUGUUAUUAGGGAAGAACAAAUGUGGAAGUAACUAUGCACGUCUUGACGGUACCUAAUCAGAAAGCCACGGCUAACUACGUG
rnacentral:rRNA from 1 species